rnacentral:lncRNA from 1 species
CCCAUACCGGACAGGGUAUGGGGACGGACCUAGAAAUUAAGUUUGUUAAGGGAAUGGUUCACGUGUAGCGGGGACCCCUAUGGAUCCCCAUGGAUACUAGUAGGCUGAUGAAAAGGGGGCAACUGUUGUUUGAUGAUUGAAAUAUAAAAGUAUGACAUGUGCUAUGUUACAGAUUAUGUAUGAAUUCAUGAUAUCUAUGAUGUUAUUGUUUUUAUGGGUUAUUUUUUAUAAAUC